GCAGCGUGUGAGGCCAGGCAAUGCAAGCAAGCUGGGAAGAAGGGGUAUAUGUAUACAGCAGCAGGCAGCGACAGCGAACAGGAGACCAAAAGAGGAGAUCGGAGCGAGCCAGAGAUCUAGAGGCUGGCCUGGGGCAAAACCCCACUAACUAAACGGACGAGUGGACGACCAGAUGCAUGGAGCUGUAUAUAUGCUGCUUAUCCAAAAAUAGCUAUGAGCUAUCUAUAGGCGUACGUCUUUAGAACCGGAUUGAGGUGCGCUAUGAAGACGAGAGAGAGAGUAAAAAGCAAGUGCAUGCGUGGAUCGGAUCGUAUCGGACGCCGCAAAAUUAUGAAGAAGAGACGGAUGAUCGAUCGAGGAAAAGUUUGUAUCCGGCGUUGGAGCUAGCUGUGUGCCGUACGAAUGUGACCGGACGGUGGAGCGACGCUGUGAUCCAGCUGAGCUCCAGCUCUCUGCCCUAAGUAGCCCGACGGGGAGAACCCCCCUCUAUCCCGAAGCGGGAAGAGAACGUGGGCGUGACAUAUAGCAUUAGAUUCCUGACACUGGGACCCACCACGACCUCCAGCAGGGGUUUUUUUUUCAGCGACAUUUUGCCGAAAUUUUUGAAAUUUCAUAUUUAUCGCUAAGGUAUGAAUUUUUUUUAUAUAUCAGUUAAAUUUUUCGGUUAAAUUCAUGUUUUAUUUCAAAAUUACUCUAAACCACACUAAAAUGUCCCACCACCAUAUCUCCUGGCCCUAUCAAAACCCUAAAUUUUUUUCAAAAUUAUUUAAUUUUCUCACUCUCACAUAUUUCAUGACACUACCAUAUGCAGCUCGCCCACCGUGUUAUUUCAUUAAUAUUAUAUAAAUUUGUGGUGGGUGAUAAAUUACAAAGUUUUUCUAGUGAAAUGAUGUCAAUUUUUUGAUAAAAAUAAUUUGAAUUAAUUUAAAUUUAGUCCAAAAUUUCCGAAAUAUCUUAUUUAUUUGUAGGUGCCGAAAAAGUUUUAUACCGAAAAAGAAAAGUUUCCGAUCUGGUUCUUUUGAAUUGAAUUGUUCAUG
rnacentral:lncRNA from 1 species